GGAUCAACAUGGGAUCAACAUGAUACCAACACGGGAUCAACACGGAAUCUGCAUGGGAUCAACAUGGGAUCAACAUGAUACCGACAUGGGAUCUACAUGGGAUUAACAUGAGUAGAGCAGCAAAGCAACACGGGAUCGACAUGGAUCAACACAGGAUCAACAUGGGAUCAACACGGGAUGGACAUGAGUGGAGCAGCAAAUCAACAUGGGAUCAACACGGGAUCAACAUGAUACCAACAUGGGAUCUACAUGGGAUUAACAUGAGUAGAGCAGCAAAGCGACACGGGAUCAACAUGGGAUGGACAUAGGAUGGACAUGGGAUUAACAUGAGUAGAGCAAC
rnacentral:lncRNA from 1 species